rnacentral:rRNA from 1 species
CGACAGUGGGGAAUUUUGGGCAAUGGCCGAAAGGCUGACCCAGCGACGUCGCGUGCGGGAGGACGCCCUUCGGGGUGUAAACCGCUGUCAGAGGGGACGAAAGGCCGGGGUGGGAAUACUGCCCUGGAGUGACGGUACCCUCAGAGGAAGCACCGGCUAACUCUGUGCCAGCAGCCGCGGUA